GGAACAUACAUGGUACCAAUGUGAAAUCAUUAAAAGUGGGUUUUAAGAAAUCAGUUUCUGUCACUAAGAUCGAGACCUACCUACUGUUCUAAAUGUUUAAACUUAAUGUGUGUGUGCAUUUGAAUGUGUAAAUGCAUAUGUGUGAGUGUGUGUGUGAAUUGGUAUGUGAGAAUCUAUGUGUGAGAGUGUGGACAUGAGUGUAUAUGAAUGCAUGUGUUUAUGAGUGUGAGUGUCUGUCUUUUAGAGGAUAAUACUACUUCUACCUUCAAGUGGGUUCUGUGGAUUAAACUCACUGCAUAGACUUGUCUGGCAAGUGCCAAUGUGCUGGCUCACUGACCCCGAGUGUUUACUUUUAAUGAGCAUGUUAAAAACGUAAUAAAAUUCUCUCACCAUAUUAACAGUACAUUAAAAGUCUUGUUCAGGGAACCUUUUGCAGUGUACAUUUGCAGGGGACGUUUUCGUCCAAACUGAAAUAGUGCUAAAGACCUUGGUAUCCUGAUACUCUAGCAAACAGUGGCAAAUAUUGAAGUCAGAGUAGAAUCCAGUUUUUCAGUGAAAUUUAGCAUCUAUCUAAUGUCAUAGAGCUUUAUCGGUUUAUAAGUGCAUGCUUGCAAAAGAAAAAAGUCUGCAGGCAUGGGAAAGCACACCGGUAAAUUGAAGUUAGAAAUGCACUCAACUUUGCUACAUAAUAACAUCCUACACUGAAUAUUAGUAUUUACAUAUGAUCAUGGUAAACCUGCCAUAAUAAUUAUUUUCUUUGAUUUAAUUUUUUAUUCAGUUGCCCCGGAAAGGCAAAACAUGAUGAACACAUAUGUGUGCUAUGUUCUGGUUUUUCAGUUGCGUGAUGGAAGUGUCUGGAAAACUCUGUUCUGACAUAUUACUGUUUAGUUCUCUGUCCCUAAGGAGAACUCUAGAUCAGAGCUCUAGAUCAGGGCUCUGGACUUUUGUAGCAAAAUCGAGAAAAAUAUUGUAACUUUCAUAAGCUUGUAGGAAUGUAAAAAUCCAUGCAGAGGUUCCAAGACUGUGAUUAUAGAAACUGGAACAAAUCAGUGCAGUUUUCUACCACCUCAAUAUUAGGUUAAAAUUUGCUUUUUUUUCAACUUGUGUAUUUUAGAAGAAAGGGUUCAUGUCAUUCUGGAUUUCCUUAAUUUAGGUUGGCUGCCAGCUCUUCUAGACCUCUGGUAUUCUUUUCAGCGAUUUCACUUUCCUGAUUUGCAUUCUGUACAGUUCAGGGUGAGCUUCUGUUUGGAAAAGUUAAGGCAUACACUGGUUUUCUACUGCUUUUCUUAGAGUGUAGACUCAAACCAUGAGUGUAAUGUGCAAUUUGUUGCCCAUUAAGUAUGUGACUGAUUCUGUCCUAGUGUAGGACAUUGUCAUGAUUAUGAGAAAAUGUGUGACUCUUUGCAUGACUCUUUCCUAGAAGUGUUUUUUGUUUAUCUCCCAAAGUACUUUUGGGAAUAAUUAUUGGAGUUAGUUUAUUUCCAUUAUCUCAGUGGCAAAUAAAGAUCCUAAUACUGAAGUCUGUUUUGACUUGUCAAAUUCCAUCAGUAACUCACAAAUAGACUUGGUCAUCCUCCAGUCUAGUUAGUCUCUUGCCUGGCUAUUAUUGAUAUCAUUCUUAGUUUUUGGUACCAUCGUGAGUAUUGGUUUCCUCUGUAAACUCUUACUUUUGAUCUUUCCUAAGCAAUGGAAAACAGCAUUUUUCACUCCCUCAGCUAAGAUGCUACACUAGAAGAUUCUAGAUUUUUAAGUGUUUAUAUCUUUUCCUUUACACUUCCUGACCUUUUAUGCCCAGGAUAACACUGUCCUGUAUUGCAUGAUAAGUAUUCUGUGUUAAUCCCUUCUGACUUCUACAUUAGUAAGUGAAUUUUUAAGAUGAGGAAUUGAUUGGACAUAGUUUGCGGAUAUAGCAUGAGUUUAAACAGUAAAAAUUAGAGGUCAGGACAUAAUUGGGUCUACAAAUGAAUGAGCUUCAGCAACUUAAAUUCCCUGUUCCUAUACCAUUUGAGUUGGAUUGUGGUAUUCUAGACCAUACUUGAAAUUUAUUGGAUUACUAUUUUUUUUAACAGUUUUCGAUAAAGCCUUGAAAUAAGAAAACUGGUAACUAGAAAGCCUGGUCCUUGCUUUAAAAGGCGACUCACGUGGGAAAGAGAGGUAAAUAAAUACACCUCUUCACGUGAUCAGCUCGGAAGUCGAUAAUUAAACACACAAUUGGUCUUUUGCCCUUCUCUAAUUUAGAAUAAGGUACGUGGCAACAUUUAUUAGACAGGUUCACUACCCAAAGACUGAAAAGGAUGAUAAUGAUGAUAAAGGCUGUGAUGUGUAGACUGUCUCUCCGCACUACUUAUCUUAGCUAGUUUCGACUCAGUAUACUGCCCAGUAGCAAAAGAAGUUUAAAAGAGAAGUAGCUGACUGGCAACCCUCAGGACGAUCACCAGAGGAAGUCAAAAGGGGGCAAAAAGAUCUGAAGCUGACUCUUCCCUUGACCAAUUAGUGGCCGGGAUUUCUGAGUUACUUAUUUCUUCUUCUCCAUCAUUAGAUGGUUUGAUUGGGAGAAGAGAAGAGAUUUUAAUUUUACUCUUGUCAUCUGGUACAAGAAUUCACUGUUUCAGAAUGGAAGUGACAGGUGAAUUUCAUUAAGAUGGAUAAUAGGCAGCCCCGUACAAACUUGCAACUAAUAUCAGCGAGAAGAAAUUUUAACCAAGCUAUUACUUUUUGACCAAUGUUCUAUUACUUGUCUUGACAACCUUGUAUUUAAUGAUGGAGGAUAUAAUAGGCUGAGGGGCUUUCAUUUUAGGUUUUCAUUUUAUCCUCUGUGUGUGUGUGUGUGUGUGUGCGCGCGCGUGUGCCUGCCUGCAGUUUUUAAGGUCUAGAUUGUUCUUCUUUCCUGGUGGAAAUAAAGUUGAGAAUUGUAAUGCAUAUUUGCGAUGGACGCAGUUUAGGAAUUAUUAGUGGGAGUUGCCAGCUGAUGCUGACACGUGUAUUUUUAACAGGAAGUAUUCUGCUCUAUGUGUUUGUUUGUAAAACCUGCGAUCCUCAUCAAUGAACUACUGAUGGAGCGAAGGUCUUCCUGAGGUCUGGUUGGGCUCAGAGUCCUCAGUUGCAGGAAUUGGUGCAUGUCAUGGAGCCCUCUUGCCCUGUUCUGGGCCUUUAUUCUGAUUCCUUCUGCUCAGACUCUUGCCGAGCUGUGGAGUCCCAUAUCUCCAUUUGGCACAGGCAACUUAUGGAGGCAAGACUACGUGUUUAAUUAUUGCAAUACUUUGGGUGCAUAGCAGAGUAUAUGAAGCAAAGGUUGUGAACCAUCAACCUCUAUGUAUGGGACUAGUAUUAUCCUUUGCCAGUAUUAUUACAUUUGCCUGGUGUAAAAGGCAGCUUUAAAGCUUCCCGUUGCAUUUGGUUCCUUUUCUCUGCAGAUUUUUGCAUUGUUCUAUGAUGUCACAUUCCAUGCAUUUGCGUUUUAGUGAGGAGCUAUGUUUUAAUGUUUCAC
ensembl:sense_intronic Gm29112 predicted gene 29112